GGUCGGGUAGCUCAGUGGUAGAGCAAUCGCCCAGCAAGCGAGAGACUCGGGUUCGAUUCCCGGUCCGGCGG
rnacentral:tRNA from 2 species